rnacentral:rRNA from 1 species
UACGUAGGGUGCGAGCGUUAAUCGGAAUUACUGGGCGUAAAGCGUGCGUAGGCGGUUCGUUAAGUUCGUUGUGAAAGCCCCGGGCUCAACCUGGGAAUGGCAAUGGAAACUGGCGGGCUGGAGUAUGGCAGAGGGGGGUGGAAUUCCGCGUGUAGCAGUGAAAUGCGUAGAUAUCGGGAGGAACACCAGUGGCGAAGGCGGCCCUCUGGCUCGACCCUGACGCUGAGGAGCGAAAGCGUGGGGAGCGAACAGG